UUUCCGUAGGUGAACCUGCGGAAGGAUCAUUGUCGAAACCUGCCCAGCAGAACGACCCGCGAACUUGUAUAAACAACUGGGGGCGGGGGGCGUUCUCGCCCCGUGCCCCCGAAGGGCGGGGAGACACUCGUGCCUUCUUGCCGAACAACGAACCCCGGCGCGGUCUGCGCCAAGGAACUUCAACUAAAGAGUGCCUCCGGUCGCCUCGGAAACGGCGUGCGUGCCGGAGGCGAAUCUUGUGCAAAACCAUAACGACUCUCGGCAACGGAUAUCUCGGCUCUC
rnacentral:misc_RNA from 1 species